rnacentral:rRNA from 1 species
CCUACGGGGGGCAGCAGUGAGGAAUAUUGGUCAAUGGACGAGAGUCUGAACCAGCCAAGUAGCGUGAAGGAUGACUGCCCUAUGGGUUGUAAACUUCUUUUAUAUGGGAAUAAAACGUUCCACGUGUGGGAUUUUGUAUGUACCAUAUGAAUAAGGAUCGGCUAACUCCGUGCCAGCAGCCGCGGUAAUACGGAGGAUCCGAGCGUUAUCCGGAGUUAUUGGGUUUAAAGGGAGCGUAGGUGGAUUGUUAAGUCAGUUGUGAAAGUUUGCGGCUCAACCGUAAAAUUGCAGUUGAAGCUGGCAGUCUUGAGUACAGUAGAGGUGGGCGGAAUUCGUGGUGUAGCGGUGAAAUGCUUAGAUAUCACGAAGAACUCCGAUUGCGAAGGCAGUUCACUGGACUGCAACUGACACUGAGGCUCGAAAGUGUGGGUAUCAAACAGGAUUAGAUACCCGUGUAGUC